CUCUGCGCCGCCCGCGUCCCGCGAAGGGCGCCGCCGCGGCCACCUCGUAGCGGGUUCGGGGCCGGCCCGCCUGCGCCUGCGGGAGCCUGGCCCGACCCGGGGACCGGAGAGUUUGUCACCGACGUGUGCGGGGCUGCGUGGGCUGAGCUCUAAGCGCAGGUUGAAAACUACAGGCACAAGCGGAGGAAGCUGGGAUAUUCCAGUGCUGGUCAUCUAUUGAACAACUGCACGAGAAGGUCUUAAUUGCUAGAGGGGAGCAAAGUAGGGAAGGGAGAGAGGAACUGCAUGUAUGUGCGCUCUGAGUAAAGGACGUGAGCUCAGGCCUGGCCAAGGAGGACGGGGACCGGGAUCUGGAGAUGCUGUGGUUCUAUUUGAAUACCUGUUUCCAUGUCUGAGCUCAAUUUCCCACUACAAAAAGUCUCAUUAUUACAAGUCUGAAUCUCUCUGCCUAAAGAUGGCCAUUCGUAUCUUUCUGGAAAUAUCUCCAUACAGAGUAACAAUGAUCUCUAGCGUCCUGUUGAAAGUUUAACUGCUCAGCGUGUAGGUAACGUACUGAUUAUUCAAAUGAGCUCACCCUGAAGAAACAAGGUAGAAAUUUUAAGUCCCGUGGUGAGUUUGCUAGGUUCCUAAUAAACCUUGAGUCCCACGUCUCUGCUUUGUCACACUCAACUGUAUAUACUAUUGAAGCCAAGGGAACAUGAAGAAGCUCAGCUCAUUUUAGAUUCAGACAGAAGUUUUGCCAAGACCAGUGAAACUAAACUGUAGGAUUGUGCCCUGAAUAUACGCCCAAGUGGCAGGUUCACGUGCAGCUCUGGUUUUGUUUGGCCUCUGCAGGAUCAUCGAACACAAUGGAAUGAGAUACAGUCCUCCUAGCAACUUUCCUCACGUGCAAGUUCUCUUUCAGCAAGAGUCUGUUUCUUUGUCUAAAUUUCACGUUUCGGCCAUUUUUCUUACAGUUAAUUGACAUAAACCAAAUUUCUGACCCUCUCAUUGUUUUCAUGUGUUCUGUGGGCAAUGGGACAGCCCUUCCCACACCAUCAUGGAUAUCAUCUCUGCCUUCUUUAAACUUUUUGUGCCAGUCAAAAACUCCCGCUCUUAAUAUUACUUCUUCACC